rnacentral:miRNA from 1 species
CCGAAUCUCUCUCUCUCUCUCUCUCUCUCUCUCUCUCUCUCUCUCUCAUCUCACUCUCUAGAUCUGACGUCGUCCACAUGAAAUUUGGAAGUUGACAAGGUUGUCGCCUCCAUUGUUGCCGAUGUGAAGAGAGAGAGAGAGAGUGAGAAAGAGAGGGAGAGAUGAGAGUGAACGAGUCG